rnacentral:rRNA from 1 species
CCUACGGGAGGCAGCAGUGAGGAAUAUUGGUCAAUGGGCGCGAGCCUGAACCAGCCAAGUCGCGUGAGGGAAGACGGUCCUCUGGAUUGUAAACCUCUUUUGUCGGGGAGCAAAAGACGCCACGCGUGGCGUUCCGAGAGUACCCGAAGAAAAAGCAUCGGCUAACUCCGUGCCAGCAGCCGCGGUAAUACGGAGGAUGCGAGCGUUAUCCGGAUUUAUUGGGUUUAAAGGGGGAGCAGGCGGAAGAUCAAGUCAGCGGUAAAAUUGAGAGGCUCAACCUCUUCGAGCCGUUGAAACUGGUUUUCUUGAGUGAGUGAGAAGUAUGCGGAAUGCGUGGUGUAGCGGUGAAAUGCGUAGAUAUCACGCGGAACUCCGGUUGCGAAGGCAGCAUACCGGCGCUCAACUGACGCUCAUGCACGAAAGUGUGGGUAGCGAACAGGAUUAGAUACCCUAGUAGUC